rnacentral:rRNA from 1 species
AACGAACGCUGGCGGCAGGCUUAACACAUGCAAGUCGAGCGCCCCGCAAGGGGAGCGGCAGACGGGUGAGUAACGCGUGGGAACGUACCCUUUGCUACGGAAUAGCUCCGGGAAACUGGAAUUAAUACCGUAUGUGCCCUACGGGGGAAAGAUUUAUCGGCAAAGGAUCGGCCCGCGUUGGAUUAGCUAGUUGGUGGGGUAAUGGCCUACCAAGGCGACGAUCCAUAGCUAGUCUGAGAGGAUGAUCAGCCACAUUGGGACCGAGACACGGCCCAAACUCCUACGGGAGGCAGCAGUGGGGAAUAUUGGACAAUGGGCGCAAGCCUGAUCAAGCCAUGCCGAGUGAGUGAUGAAGGCCUUAGGGUUGUAAAGCUCUUUCACCGGAGAAGAUAAUGACGGUAUCCGGAGAAGAAGCCCCGGCUAACUUCGUGCCAGCAGCCGCGGUAAUAC